AUGACGAGUGGCGGACGGGUGAGUAAUGCUUGGGAACUUGCCUUUGCGAGGGGGAUAACAGUUGGAAACGACUGCUAAUACCGCAUAAUGUCUUCGGACCAAACGGGGCUUCGGCUCCGGCGCAAAGAGAGGCCCAAGUGAGAUUAGCUAGUUGGUAAGGUAACGGCUUACCAAGGCGACGAUCUCUAGCUGUUCUGAGAGGAAGAUCAGCCACACUGGGACUGAGACACGGCCCAGACUCCUACGGGAGGCAGCAGUGGGGAAUAUUGCACAAUGGGGGAAACCCUGAUGCAGCCAUGCCGCGUGUGUGAAGAAGGCCUUCGGGUUGUAAAGCACUUUCAGUUGUGAGGAAAAGUUAGUAGUUAAUACCUGCUAGCCGUGCGUUAACAACAGAAGAAGCACCGGCUAACUCCGUGCCAGCAGCCGCGGUAAUACGGAGGGUGCGAGCGUUAAUCGGAAUUACUGGGCGUAAAGCGCACGCAGGCGGUUUGUUAAGCUAGAUGUGAAAGCCCCGGGCUCAACCUGGGAUGGUCAUUUAGAACUGGCAGACUAGAGUCUUGGAGAGGGGAGUGGAAUUCCAGGUGUAGCGGUGAAAUGCGUAGAUAUCUGGAGGAACAUCAGUGGCGAAGGCGACUCCCUGGCCAAAGACUGACGCUCAUGUGCGAAAGUGUGGGUAUCGAACACGAUUAGAUACCCUGGUAGUCCACACCGUAAACGCUGUCUACUAGCUGUGUGUGUC
rnacentral:rRNA from 1 species